AUCUCUGAUGCGGAGAUGGUA
rnacentral:siRNA from 1 species